rnacentral:rRNA from 1 species
UAGGGAAUAUUGCAAAAUGGGCGAAAGCCCGAUGCAGCAACGCCGCGUGGGCGAUGAAGGCCUUCGGGUCGUAAAGCCCUUUUUGAGGGGAUGAGGAAGGACAGUACCCUCAGAAUAAGCCUCGGCUAACUACGUGCCAGCAGCCGCGGUAAAACGUAGGAGGCGAGCGUUAUCCGGAUUUACUGGGCGUAAAGCGCGUGCAGGCGGAUUGGAGAGUUGGAUGUGAAAGCUCCCGGCUUAACUGGGAGAGGUCGUUCAAUACUUCCAGUCUUGAGUGCAGUAGAGGGCAGUGGAAUUCCGGGUGUAGUGGUGAAAUGCGUAGAUAUCCGGAGGAACACCAGUGGCGAAAGCGGCUUCCUGGACUAUAACUGACGCUCAGACGCGAAAGCUAGGGUAGCAAACG